UCUCUUGAAACUUAUUUCAAUUGUGUUAUACACAUCAAACGAUUCGGAGAGUGUGUGGUUAUUGUUCACUAUAUGGUUUACAAUAAACUUAGGGAACCAUUUGGAUAGGGACACAAAGGUGAAGUCCUUGCCUAGUUUCCAUUUCUAGAAGUGGUUUAACACUUCAACACUCAAUGAUUCAAAAUCAUCAUAAGUCCAUGUUGAUGGACUAUUUUUGUCAACCAACCAUUAUGUUCUAAACAUAAUUACAAACUUUCAAGAGUUGUUCAAGGCAACUCUCAUUUCUUCAUACAACAAUUUGUAAGUGAAGAAUCAUGGCACAUAAAGUGUCCAUGCCCUUGUGCUUUCUUCUCAAGUUCUUUGUUCAUUUAACAAAGAAACAAGCACUAGUGCUUGCAUUAGCUAAGGGUUGUUCAAAGCAACUCUUAUUUCUUCAUACAACGAUUUGUAAGUGAAGAACUAUGACAUUAAAAGUGUUGUCCUCUUUAUGAUUGACUUAUCUAACGUGUUCUUCCAAUGAUACAUUAUCAAUAGGAAGAUUGUGAGGAUUA
rnacentral:lncRNA from 1 species